UCCAUCUCUGGAAAUUUUGAACAAUGAUAUAUGUUACUGUAUUUUCAAGACUCACAUUAAAUUAUGAUACCACAUAAGAAAAUAUUGAGAGUAGUCUAUUAAAUACUGUGGAGGACGACAAGUUUUUCAAGACUACUCUAACAAAUUUUCAGGUGUCAUAUAGAUAGAAUCUCUAUAGAUAGCAAUAAUAUCAAAACAAAAGAAAAUUUUUAGUUUGCUAACGAUAAUUAAAGUUAAAAACAACAAAGAUAAGAAUACAAUAAAAAUUAACGUAUGCAGCUGAGAGCGAAAGGAAUAAUGGGACAUCUCGGAGCAUUAUGUGUUUUACAGCUAAAAUUAUUGAGGUUGGUUUCACAAUUCCGAAAGUUGGAAAAGGUGUAAGGAACAAAAAAUCAAGCACUGUUUCGAAUUUACAUUGAGGUCUGAAGAAAAUUGGAAAUAGGUCUAUGUGUUUGAGAUCCCUGUGGACUGCAACACCAACUUUACCCACGCAUACAGUCAGUUUUAACUUAGCUCAAACGUAUAUGUAUCUAUUUUUAAAUACACAUGUGCCACCUUAUAGCACCAAAAAAGUAAGUAU